GAUGAACGCUAGCGGCAGGCCUAAUACAUGCAAGUCGAACGAUAGUGAGAAGCUUGCUUCUCACGAAAGUGGCGCACGGGUGCGUAACGCGUAUGCAACCUACCUUAAUCAGGGGGAUAGCCCGAAGAAAUUCGGAUUAACACCGCAUAAAAUCACAGUAUAGCAUUAUACAAUGAUCAAAUAUUUAUAGGAUUAAGAUGGGCAUGCGUGACAUUAGUUAGUUGGCGGGGUAACGGCCCACCAAGACCACGAUGUCUAGGGGAUCUGAGAGGAUGAACACCCACACUGGUACUGAGACACGGACCAGACUCCUACGGGAGGCAGCAGUAAGGAAUAUUGGUCAAUGGAGGCAACUCUGAACCAGCCAUGCCGCGUGCAGGAAGACAGCCCUCUGGGUCGUAAACUGCUUUUAUUCGGGAAUAAACCUAUCUACGUGUAGAUAGCUGAAUGUACCGAAGGAAUAAGGAUCGGCUAACUCCGUGCCAGCCGCCGCGGUAA
rnacentral:rRNA from 1 species